CGAUAAUCUGCCCUUAGGUCUGGAAUAGCCUUGGGAAACUGGGGGUAAAUCCGGAUAUGGGAUUAUAGCUGGAAUGCUUUUUCCUUGAAAAGUAAUGCCUAAGGAUGAGUCGGCGGCUGAUUAGGUUGUUGGUGAGGUAAUGGCUCACCAAGCCGAAGAUCAGUAGGGGGGAUGAGAGUCCUAGCCCCGAGAAGGGCACUGAGAUACUGGCCCUAGCCCUAAGGGGUGCAGCAGGCGAGAAACCUUUACAAUGCACGAAAGUGUGAUAAGGGGAUUCCAAGUGCUCAUACUAUGUAUGGGCUUUUGCCAUAUGUAAAGAGUAUGGCGAAUAAGUGUGGGUAAGACUGGUGCCAGCCGCCGCGGUAACACCAGCGCCACGAGUGGCAGUCACGAUUAUUGGGUCUAAAGCAUCCGUAGUCGGUUUGUUAAGUCUUUUGUGAAAUUGUUAUACUUAAUAUAGCAACGUGCAAUAGAUACUGAUAAACUAGAAACCGGGAGAAGGUAAGAGUAUUCUGGGGGGAACGGUUAAAUGUUAUAAUCCCUGGAGGACUACCAACGGCGAAGGCACUUAUCUAGAACGGAUUUGACGAUGAGGGAUGAAAGCUGGGGGAGCAAAAGGGAUUAGAUACCCCUGUAGUCCCAGCCGUAAACACUGUGGGCUGAGUGUUGCAUAUACUUCGAGUAUGUGCAGUGCUUAAGCGAAGGCGUUAAGCUCACCACCUGGGAAGUACGGUCGCAAGGCUGAAACUUAAAGGAAUUGGCGGGGGCUCACUACAACGAGUGCGGCGUGCGGUUUAAUUUGAUUCCACACGGGAAACCUCACCAGAGGCGAUGGCAGAAUGAAGGUCAGAUUGAAGGUUUUACCUAACAGGCCAAGAGGUGGUGCAUGGCCGACGUCAGCUCGUGCCGUGAGGUGUCCAGUUAAGUCUGGCAACGAGCAAGACCCAUACCUAUAUUUGCUAACAUCUCUUUAGAGGAAUGAGCACAAUAUAGGGACUGCCUGUGAAAACAGGAGGAAGGCGUGGGCAACGUUAGGUCAGUAUGCCCCGAAUCUUCUGGGCUACACGCGCGCAACAAUGGUAGGAACAAUGGGUCGCAACCCUGAAAAGGGAAGCUAAUCCUCUAAAUCCUAUCUUAGUCUAGAUUGAGGGUUGCAAUUCACCCUCAUGACAAUGGAAUUCGUAGUAAUCGGACAUCAUCAGUGUCCGGUGAAUACGUCCCUGAGCCUUGCACACACCGCCCGUCAAGCCAUCCGAGCAGGGUCUGAAUGAGGUCUAAUUUUCGAAUUAGAACAAAUUUGGGCUCAGCAAGGAGGGCUAAGUCGGCACAAGGUA
rnacentral:rRNA from 1 species